rnacentral:hammerhead_ribozyme from 1 species
AUCCAGCUGACGAGUCACAAAUAGGACGAAACGUCGGUCAUGGAU